rnacentral:rRNA from 1 species
ACUCCUACGGGAGGCAGCAGUGGGGAAUAUUGCACAAUGGGCGCAAGCCUGAUGCAGCCAUGCCGCGUGUGUGAAGAAGGCCUUCGGGUUGUAAAGCACUUUCAGUCGUGAGGAAGGUAGUGUAGUUAAUAGCUGCAUUAUUUGUACGUUAGCGACAGAAGAAGCACCGGCUAACUCCGUGCCAGCAGCCGCGGUAAUACGGAGGGUGCGAGCGUUAAUCGGAAUUACUGGGCGUAAAGCGCAUGCAGGUGGUUUGUUAAGUCAGAUGUGAAAGCCCGGGGCUCAACCUCGGAAUAGCAUUUGAAACUGGCAGACUAGAGUACUGUAGAGGGGGUUAGAAUUUCAGGUGUAGCGGUGAAAUGCGUAGAGAUCUGAAGGAAUACCGGUGGCGAAGGCGGCCCCUGGACAGAUACUGACACUCAGAUGCGAAAGCGUGGGAGCAAACAGGAUUAGAUACCCCGUGGUAGCGACU